rnacentral:piRNA from 1 species
UAGAAAGUACACAUUGGCUC